rnacentral:rRNA from 1 species
GACAUGGCUCGGGAUGAACGCUGGCGGCGUGCCUAACACAUGCAAGUCGAGCGAAGCACUUUGCUUAGAUUCUUCGGAUGAAGAGGAUUGUGACUGAGCGGCGGACGGGUGAGUAACGCGUGGGUAACCUGCCUCAUACAGGGGGAUAACAGUUAGAAAUGACUGCUAAUACCGCAUAAGACCACAGCACCGCAUGGUGCGGGGGUAAAAACUCCGGUGGUAUGAGAUGGACCCGCGU